rnacentral:siRNA from 1 species
CUUCACCAGUCGCCAUUAUCAU